rnacentral:rRNA from 1 species
GUAGGUGGCAAGCGUUGUCCGGAAUUAUUGGGCGUAAAGCGCGCGCAGGCGGUUCUUGAAGUCUGAUGUGAAAGCCCACGGCUCAACCGUGGAGGGUCAUUGGAAACUGGAGAACUUGAGUACAGAAGAGGAAAGCGGAAUUCCACGUGUAGCGGUGAAAUGCGUAGAGAUGUGGAGGAACACCAGUGGCGAAGGCGGCUUUCUGGUCUGUAACUGACGCUGAGGCGCGAAAGCGUGGGGAGCAAACAGGAUUAGAUACCCUGGUAGUCCACGCCGUAAACGAUGAGUGCUAAGUGUUAGGGGGUUUCCGCCCCCCUUAGUGCUGCAGCUAACGCAUUAAGCACUCCGCCUGGGAGUACGGCCGCAAGGCUG